UGAGACCUUUUUAAACCCUCCCCUGUUGGGAGAAGAGGGGGAAGAGAGAAGGAGUCCUGCUGCCAGUAGGUUAGGAGCAGCAAGACAGUGAGCCUCACUAGGACGGGAGGCUGCAUUCCCUCCCAUAAGGGAGAAAAACAAGCAUAAAAGACUGGUGGAAAGAAGGACCGGACUUCCCCUGUUUACCCAAGCCUGUCUCACCGAGGCUAAAAGCAGCUGAGGCUGAUCUGGCCCUGAAGGCAGUAACCGCUGAAGACUUCAUACGAUGAAAAUGCAAUACCAUAGCAUACUCAGUUAGAGCCCAAGGCUGCAUUCCUUGCAUGAUCCAUACUCCCACUGAAGGCUUUGAACUUCACAAAACGGCAGAGAAAUGAUCUGCACGGUGCGUUUGGAAAUCAGAUGUCAUGUUGUCCAAAGAGAGUGAGUUGCAAUAAUUUGAGAUUUCAUGUUUGACGAGGGAAAG